UUACAUUCGCACUCGCUAAAUUUACAUUCGCACUCGCUAAAUUCCCCCCCCCCUUAAUUUAGCGAGUGCGAAUGCAAAUUUAGCGACUGCGAAUGUAAAUUUGUAUUCGCACUCGCUAAAUUAGGGGGGUGGGGAAUUUAGCGAGUGCGAAUGUAAAUUUAGCGAGUGCGAAUUGA